GGGCCAUUAGCUCAGCGGUUAGAGCAGAGGACUCAUAAUCCUUUGGUCCAAAGUUCAAAUCUUUGAUGGCCCA
rnacentral:tRNA from 1 species